rnacentral:rRNA from 1 species
UACAGAGGGGGCAAGCGUUGUUCGGAAUUACUGCGCGUAAAGGGCGCGUAGGCGGCCUGCUAAGUCGAACGUGAAAUCCCCGAGCUCAACUCGGGAACUGCGUCCGAUACUGGCAGGCUUGAAUCCGGGAGAGGGAUGCGGAAUUCCUGGUGUAGCGGUGAAAUGCGCAGAUAUCAGGAGGAACACCGGUGGCGAAGGCGGUUCUCUGGGCAUUACCUGACGCUGAGGAGCGAAAGUGUGGGGAGCGAACAGG